GAUGAAGAACGCAGCGAAAUGCGAUACGUAAUGUGAAUUGCAGAAUUCAGUGAAUCAUCGAGUCUUUGAACGCACAUUGCGCCCCCUGGUAUUCCGGGGGGCAUGCCUGUCCGAGCGUCACUACACACCUUAUCACAAUAUUUGUGGUCUUGGCAGGAGUGAAUUGCUGGUCUAUGGAAGUAUUCCAGCAGUACACAAUGCUAAAAAAUAUGGGAAGGUUACCAGAUAUGAACAACAGACUUUGUAAAUGGUUGUAGGACCUAGAUCAGUCACAAGUCAUGUCUGGUCCCUUACCUUAAGGACCCCCAUCCUAGAUGAACUAUGGGUUGACCUCGGAUCAGGUAGGAAUACCCGCUGAACUUAAGCAUAUCAAUAAGCGGAGGA
rnacentral:misc_RNA from 1 species